rnacentral:rRNA from 1 species
UACGUAGGGUGCGAGCGUUAAUCGGAAUUACUGGGCGUAAAGCGUGCGCAGGCGGUUUUGUAAGCCAGAUGUGAAAGCCCCGGGCUCAACCUGGGAAUGGCAUUUGGGACUGCAAGGCUGGAGUAUGGCAGAGGAGACUAGAAUUCCUGGUGUAGCAGUGAAAUGCGUAGAUAUCAGGAGGAAUACCGAUGGCGAAGGCAGGUCUCUGGGCCGAUACUGACGCUGAGGAGCGAAAGCGUGGGGAGCGAACAGG